GGAAUAUUGGGCAAUGGAGGCAACUCUGACCCAGCGACGCCGCGUGCGGGAUGAAGGCCUUCGGGUUGUAAACCGCUUUCAGUAGGGAAGAAGCGAAAGUGGCGGUACCUACAGAAGAAGCACCGGCUAACUAUGUGCCAGCAGCCGCGGUAAUACAUAGGGUGCAAGCGUUGUCCGGAAUUAAUGGGCGUAAAGAGCUCGUAGGUCGUUUGUUACGUCGGAUGUGAAAACCUGAGGCUCAACCUCAGGCCUGCAUUCGAUACGGGCAAACUAGAGUUUGGUAGGGGAGACUGGAAUUCCUGGUGUAGCGGUGGAAUGCGCAGAUAUCAGGAGGAACACCAAUGGCGAAGGCAGGUCUCUGGGCCAAUACUGACACUGAGGAGCGAAAGUCUGGGGAGCGAACAGGAUUAGAUACCCUGGUAGUCCAGACCGUAAACGGUGGGCACUAGUUGUGGGAACCUUCCACGGUUUCUGCGACGCAGCUAACGCAUUAAGUGCCCCGCCUGGGGAGUACGAUCGCAAGAUUAAAACUCAAAUGAAUUGACGG
rnacentral:rRNA from 1 species